UUGAGGGUCCUAAAGGGCCGUUGGAGACCACAACGUUGAUAGGCGGGGUGUGUAAGUGCAGCGAUGCAUUGAGCUAACCCGUACUAAUUACCCGUGAGGCUUAACCAUACAACACCCAAGAAGUGUUCU
rnacentral:rRNA from 1 species